ACGUAUAAGGGUCAUAUUGCGU
rnacentral:siRNA from 1 species